rnacentral:rRNA from 1 species
AUUGAACGCUGGCGGCAGGCCUAACACAUGCAAGUCGAGCGGAGCGAGGGUGCUUGCACCUUAGCUUAGCGGCGGACGGGUGAGUAAUGCGUAGGAAGCUACCCGAUAGAGGGGGAUACCAGUUGGAAACGACUGUUAAUACCGCAUAAUGUCUACGGACCAAAGUGUGGGACCUUCGGGCCACAUGCUAUCGGAUGCGCCUACGUGGGAUUAGCUAGUUGGUGAGGUAAUGGCUCACCAAGGCGACGAUCCCUAGCUGGUUUGAGAGGAUGAUCAGCCACACUGGAACGGAGACCCGGUCCAGACUCCGACGGGAGGCAGCAGUGGGGAAUAUUGGACAAUGGGCGCAAGCCUGAUCCAGCCAUGCCGCGUGUGUGAAGAAGGCCUGCGGGUUGUAAAGCACUUUCAGUAGGGAGGAAGCGUUGUGUGUUAAUAGUACACAGCGUUGACGUUACCUACAGAAGAAGCACCGGCUAACUCUGUGCCAGCCGCCGCGGUAAUAC